GGCGCUGGAAUAGAGAGAGGCGCUGGAAUAGAGAGAGGCGCUGGAAUAGAGAGAGGCGCUGGAAUAGAGACAUGGCAAUGUUCUGCCAGGCAGCACAAAAGGUUCAUUCCGGGUAGCAGGAGGGGUUACAAGAAGAAGAAUAAACCCACAAACCAACUUCUUGAUGCUGGUCAACAGCUUGUGUGGCUUCUCCAAUUUUUCCUGGGAAUUGUCCUAAUCGUUCUGCCUCUGAUAUAUAUCUCUUUCUCCUCACACAUGUUUGAUGAGACAUGUGUCCGUACCGAUGUCAUGGAGAAAGUCAUUUCAAAAUACGCCUCACAUAUUGAUCAUACCUGAGAAUAUCCGUUAGACAAUGGAUUUUUAUUAUUUUCUUGCAAUCAUACCAUUAGAUGUUAAAUAAAAUGAUGUAAUGAUGUAUUAAUUUCCAAAAUAAAUGAGCACUUUGCAUCACUUG